CACCUCAUUCACGAUCGAUCGGAAGUGUUUUGACGUGAUAAAGGCAUAUUCGAGUACAUAGGCAUCACUCACCGCUUUGGCAAAUUUCAAAGGAAUCAGCAAACUUAACCUCAUGUUCUAAAAGCGUAUCGCGACUCGAGAGACCAUACAAAGGUAUCACUAGUGUGGCUUGACGUGAACUGGGCCUUUGAUCACAGCAAAAACGCGGAUCAGUUUUCAAAAUUCCUUUCACACCUCGUCGAUGAUUAAAGGUCCCCUCUUCUCCUCGAAUACCCUGUUCAUGGUGUUAUAGUACUAUGUGUAAUACGGAUCAUGUUGCUGCUUGGAAGGAGAACUUGAUUCUGGUUGGAAAAUGAUUCUGAGAAUUCGUCUAAACUUAUCGAGUCGGUCGGCCAGUCGGCCGGUAAGGUGAUGGGUGGGUGCAUCAUCAUCAUCAUCCAUUGGUGGGUAGCCCGAUUUCUGAGGCCAGUGGGACUCUUGCAUGAUUUCGCGCCGUCCAGCCAGCCAUCCAUGGUGGGUUAAUUCAACUAACUUCUGCUUUUGCCAUCGUACCUCUCUCUCUCUCUCUCUCUGUCUACCUGAAACAUCCGCUUGGGCUUCGCUCCCUUCCAUUCUACUUCAGCACAAGAGGCUCUCCGUCAUCGCUCUCUCGAUCCGAUCUGGGAACCCAUCCCUCCCCACUACUCACAUUUGUGUCGGAGUGGUCCGUAUCGCAAAUAGUAAUACCUCGGCUACCUACAGCUAUACCCCAGAGCCCUUUUGGUAUUGUUUAUGACACGGACCCGACUCAAUUGCACUGUCGACUAGUGGAGCUGGCAAGGGACACAUCUCUUGUGUAUAUUGUGUAUAUUCUGCUCAAGCGCCAUUCUAAAGCUGUGGCUUCCAACCAUAAAUGAAUUUCGGUGUUAUGCAACAUUGCACGAGGUAGAAUGGAGCUUCUCAUAUUUGUAGAUGAAUCGAAAAGGGGCAACUAUUCAAAAUGACGAAUGCCAUUAAAUGUGAUUGAAUAUGAUUUAGCCCUAUCAAACUUGAAUUUGAAUGGAAUGUGCAUGAUGCACAUUGAAGCAACACAUAAGAAGUCCUUCCCGA